GGAGCCCUUCCUAAUCAAGAACAUGAAGCCCCAGCUCAACCAGAUAACCUGGCACUGGCUCAGAACCAGCCAGAACCUCAGCCCAUUCCACCUCAUGUGGCCCCACAUGAUCAACCUUUGGCGCUUCUGCCUGAACCACCGGUAAUAUUGCCGUAUAGACCCAGAAGGAUGGACCCUAAUCCAUUCCCUCCACUUGCAAGAGGGAGGAGAGGCCGAGGAGGGAACAACUUUUUUGCUAAUCAUGACAGGAAUAGACCGGGGGCAAACUGGAG
rnacentral:lncRNA from 1 species